UUGAGGGAUACCAGCUCCUUGGGCUUCCAUGACCUCACUGGAAAAACAGAAGGAACCCUACCUGCCCUGCCCCUGCCUUUCAGGGUCGUCUGGAAGAGCUGUGAUGUCCAGUGAACAUGAACGUGCUCUGUAACUUGGGAAGGGCAGUGCAGAUGGCAGGGGCGUGUAUACACUUACUCUUCAGGCUGGCUUGUGAGCUCCCAUCUCUCGCCCUCCUCCCCCUGCUCUCCUUUUCUGUGCUGCCCGUUCCCUCUCUGCAAACUGGGAGCUAUUCUGGCCGCAGCCAGUUCCACGUCCCCACUGAGGGCCGCACCCCUGAAUGUUCCCUGUUGUAAAGCUGUGUGGAGGAAGGGAGGAGGCCUUUCUGCGUAUUGUCGUCAUCAGCCCGCGGUGUUCCAGAAGCUGCCAGCAGGGGGCAGUAGCACCACAUGCCUGGGACCCUCCCGGCGCUUCCCGGCCACUGCCCUGGGCUCCGGGGAGGCCACCUCUGCUCCAUCUCCCCAGAAAGCAGGGAUUGAACACAGUAUUUGCUCGCACCUGAGAAGUACUCCACGCUGCAGAAGAUCCUGUGGUGAGGAUGUCAGGGUUCUGUUCUCUGCACUCCUGAGCUUUCCAGGCGUACUGUUAUUUAAUUAUUCAUUCUGCAGUGUUCAUUCAUUCACUCACUGGUUUAUCACACAUUAUCGAGCCUCUACUACAUACCAGGUGUGUAUUCUCUCUCCCUCAGUUAGGGAGGGGGUGUUUCUGGGCUCUAGGAAUAGUCUCACUCCUCCCUCCCAUUUUAUUAUUUAUUUAUUUAUUAUGUUUGGAGAUGGAGUUUCGCUCUGUCACCCAGGCUGGAGUGCCAUCUCGGCUCACAGCAACCUCUGCCUUCCAGGUUCAAGUGAUUCUCCUGCCUCAGCCUCCCGAGUAGCAGGUAUUACAGGUGCCCACCACAACGCCUGGCUAAUUUUUUUUUGUAUUUUUAGUUAGAGACGGGGUUUCACCACAUUGGCCAGGCUGGUCUUGAACCUCCUGACUCCAGGUAAUCUGCCCGCCUUGGGCUCCCAAAAUGCUGGGAUUACAGGUGUGAGCCACUGCACCCAGCCCCUCCUCCCUCCUAAAGAGAACCAGUGGUGGGUCCACAUGUGGGGACAGACAGGGGAGAGUAGGAUGGAGCCAGAGGACAGAGGACCAGCACUGGGGGCCGAGUGGGGC
rnacentral:lncRNA from 1 species